AUACGGAGGGUGCAAGCGUUACUCGGAAUCACUGGGCGUAAAGCGCGCGCAGGCGGCUAUUUAAGUUGGAUGUGAAAGCCUACGGCUCAACCGUAGAACUGCAUCCAAAACUAUUUAGCUAGAGUGUGGGAGAGGAAGAUGGAAUUAGUUGUGUAGGGGUAAAAUCCGUAGAGAUAACUAGGAAUACCAAAAGCGAAGGCAAUCUUCUGGAACACUACUGACGCUGAGGCGCGAAAGCGUGGGGAGCAAACGGUAUUAGAUACCCCAGUAGUCC
rnacentral:rRNA from 1 species